rnacentral:rRNA from 1 species
UACUGACGCUAAAGCUCGAAGGUGCGGGUAUCGAACAGGAUUAGAUACCCUGGUAGUCCGCACGGUAAACGAUGGAUGCCCGCUGUUUGCCGAUAUAGUGUGAGCGGCCAAGCGAAAGCGUUAAAGCAUCCCACCUGGGGAGUACGCCGGCAACGGUGAAACUCAAAGGAAUUGACGGGGGCCCGCACAAGCGGAGGAACAUGUGGUUUAAUUCGAUGAUACGCGAGGAACCUUACCCGGGCUUGAACUGCCGGCGAACGAUACAGAGAUGUUGAGGCCCUUCGGGGCGCCGGUGGAGGUGCUGCAUGGUUGUCGUCAGCUCGUGCCGUGAGGUGUCGGCUUAAGUGCCAUAACGAGCGCAACCCCUCUCUUCAGUUGCCAUCACUUCGGGUGGGCACUCUGGAGACACUGCCACCGUAAGGUGUGAGGAAGGUGGGGAUGACGUCAAAUCAGCACGGCCCUUACGUCCGGGGCUACACACGUGUUACAAUGGGUGGUACAGAGCGUCGACCGCCGGCAACGUCGGUCCAAUCGUGAAAUCCAUCCUCAGUUCGGACUGGGGUCUGCAACCCGACCCCACGAAGCUGGAUUCGCUAGUAA